GUUUUACUCUGCAUUAGAGGAGCAAUUUGUUUAAUUUCUCUGGAGUUUAACCUUGCUGACUGUGAUGGAAAAGCACCUGCAAAUCUUGCAUUCAGUCAGAUCACUGGAAUACAGCGGUGGCCGCCCUGGUUUUUGCUGGGUUCAUCGCUCCUCUUCCUGAUAAUUCCCCAGUAUUAACUGGCUGGAGUUAUUACCCGUUAUAUGAGAUGUCUAUGUUGAGAGCGCUUUUAUGAGAUCCUGGUCCCCGUGGAUAAGAUGAUGGAGUUGGAAGCAAGAGAGAGUGCAAUGGAACCAGGAGGACGAGUUUAAAGACGUAUCAAGAAAACAGCUCUUAGGCUCUCACAGCAUGGACCCAGAACAACAUCACAGGAAGGACUUCCAUCUCCCAUCUGACACAAGUAUCCACUUCUCGACUGUCUCACUGAAGUUACAUUUGAAGUCUACAGUCUGGCAAUGUCACCCACUGGCCCACCAAGUCCAGGGCUGCACAGGUAUGCCAAGGUGCCCCCCCCCCACAUAUUCCUCUUAUCUACCGCCAACUCAGCUUGGAUGAAGUAAAACUGCUGUUAUUUCAAUAAAACAAGCCUGAAGG